rnacentral:rRNA from 1 species
CUACGGGGGGCAGCAGUGGGGAAUAUUGGACAAUGGGGGAAACCCUGAUCCAGCAAUGCCGCGUGUGUGAAGAAGGCCUGCGGGUUGUAAAGCACUUUCGGUUGGGAGGACUGCUUCUAGCACUAAUAUUGUUGGAAGUUGACGUUACCUUCAGAAGAAGCACCGGCUAACUCCGUGCCAGCAGCCGCGGUAAUACGGAGGGUGCAAGCGUUAAUCGGAUUACUGGGCGUAAAGCGCGCGUAGGCGGCUAGAUCAGUCGGGUGUGAAAGCCCCGGGCUUAACCUGGGAACUGCAUCCGAUACUGUGUAGCUUGAGUACAGGAGGGGAGAGUGGAAUUCCACAUGUAGCGGUGAAAUGCGUAGAUAUGUGGAGGAACACCAAUGGCGAAGGCAGCUCUCUGGCCUGAUACUGACGCUGAGGUGCGAAAGCGUGGGAGCAAACAGGAUUAGAACCCCGGUAGUC